rnacentral:rRNA from 1 species
AGUUUAUUGGAUCUUCUCUCUACUUGGAUACCUGUGGUAAUUCUAGAGCUAAUACACGCACGAAAGCCUCGACUUCGGAAGGGGCGCAUUUAUUAGAACAAAACCAAUCGGGCUUGCCCGUCUUUUGGUGAAUCUGAAUAACUCAGUUGAUCGCACAGUCCUCGAACUGGCGACGUAUCUUUCAAGUGUCUGCCUUAUCAACUUUCGAUGGUAGUUUACAUGACUACCAUGGUUGUAACGGGUAACGGAGAAUAAGGGUUCGACUCCGGAGAGGGAGCCUGAGAAACGGCUACCACAUCCAAGGAAGGCAGCAGGCGCGCAAAUUACCCACUCUCAGUACGAGGAGGUAGUGACGAAAAAUAACGAGACGGUUCUCUAUGAGGUCCGUCAUCGGAAUGGGUACAAUUUAAACCCUUUAACGAGGAUCUAUUGGAGGGCAAGUCUGGUGCCAGCAGCCGCGGUAAUUCCAGCUCCAAUAGCGUAUACUAAAGUUGUUGCGGUUAAAAAGCUCGUAGUUGGAUCUGCGGUCUCGCGUGCCGGUGAAUCCUCAGGAUUUUACUGGUUUCGCAGGCCUACCUCGCUGGUUUUCCCUUGGUCCUCUUUACUGAGUGCCUUGGGUGACCAGCAAGUUUACUUUGAAAAAAUUAGAGUGCUCAAAGCAGGCGCGUAGCCUGAAUAGUGGUGCAUGGAAUAAUGGAAUAGGACCUUGGUUCUAUUUUGUUGGUUUUCGGAACGCGAGGUAAUGAUUAAGAGGGACAGACGGGGGCAUUCGUAUUGCUGCGUUAGAGGUGAAAUUC